rnacentral:lncRNA from 1 species
GCCAGCCGGAAACACGCCCUGGAGAGACAUGGGCUGGCCCUGUGCCUCCUUGGCGCCCCAGAGAGCAGCUCUGUCCUGUGGCCCUGCGGGCAAUGCCCUCUGUCCUUCCCUUCUCCCAGCUUCCCUCCUGAGCCCUCCCACCCGGUGUCCCCAAGUCCUCCGCCCCUCGAUGCCCGGAUUGAAGGAACUGCAGGCACCCAGCCGCUGCAAGAGGCGGGGCUGCCUGGCAAAGAGGGGUCCUGUCAUCGAACGGUGUGUCAUCUGAGUGAAAGGCUGGGCCUAUCCACUAGAACAAGUACCCGGUACACAGCCCAGAAUGACCAGGGACUAGUGUGCCACAGAGAGGAGAAAUCACCCAGCGGCGCGAGGAGGAGAAAUCGCUGCCAGCAAGGGGACCCUCAGGGCAUGGAGGCUGGCGUCUGCCUGGCCCAGCACCAGCACAGGUCAGACUCCUGGUGCAUUAGUAAGGGCAGGUGUGUGCCUCGCAAGCGCAAGGACCCGAGUUCGAUCCCCAGUACCCCCCCAAAAAAAAAACCAGUAGGGGCAGGUGUGGGUCACACACUUAGCACUAUAGUGCCCUGCAGCCACUGGGUGUAGCAGGGGGCAGCUGGCCCGGGACUGGGAGGCCGUCGGGGGCCAGAUGCAGAGUCCAGCCUGGGUGACCUCUCAGGGCAUCACGGUAUCCCCAAGUAGGCAUCGAAGCGGGACCAGGGCCUCCUCAGCCUUAUGUUCUGAACAGCCAAGCCUCUGGCCAGAACCAAGCAGGGUGUUUGUUUCAUCCCAUCCCUGUGCAACUUCCGGUUGGGACAAUCCAUCAGUGGAUGACCGCAGGCCGCAUGAUUCUCAUCUGAACUUAUCAGAGCCUCUGUGGGGCUGAUGGUUCGGCGGGUGGCUGUCUAGAGCUCUUUGGGGCCGGAGUACCAGAAGACAGGAGAGAGGAAAUGAAAGGAGCGGAACUCGAAUCAGUUGGCACUGUGACUCUGUUAGCAGAUGAGAUGAGCAGAUUGGGGCCGAGGGUGGUAGCGGGUGAAACCCCAGGUCCUCAGACGGCCCUAUCACAGUCCUACAUCUCUGCACCCCAGUAAUGAGUUCCCGGCCUCACCCGACCACAAUCUACCGGUCUGAGAAACUUCCCCGCUCCCCGGGGAAAAAAUCCUCAGCUCCAAGGAGAUCGAGACCUGAAGCUCAGCGGCCCGGGAAGAACCUUGGGAAGAACCUGCAGCCGGGGACAAGGACGGGGAUGGCGUCAGGUCUGGCUGCCUCUGGAGCACCCAGGAUGGACCUGUUAGGGAGAUGUUUGGACAAGAGCCCUGGGCGGGGGCCUGGCUACUUCCACACGGGCCACCUCCUCCUCCCUCCCUUCCAGUGACGCCACCCGUUUCCCAGGAACAAGGACAGAGGAGGCCGACGUGCUGGCUUGGAGACACUGGGUCACACUCGGGUCCCCGGGAGUGUCCCCCUGCAGCAAGCUUCGUCGUGACUGAGAUCUGACUCAGGGUCCAGGCCCCUGACCCCAAGCGCACCUGUGCACAGCAAGUGCUGGGAAACGCUGCUGAGCGAAGGAAUAAAAGCUCUUACAAUGUGAAGUGAAAACUGAAAGUCCCUCCACAGAAGGGCCAGACUCCUGAUUUCUCCUGUGACACGGUGCCAUCAAGGAAAUACGCCCACGCACCUCCCCCUCUCUCCCUUUUCCACAGCCUCCUGCCUUUCUUCCCUCAGUGCCUGGGGACCCUUGGACUCGGGGAGGCCAGUGCACCUUUCUGCCUGGUGAUGCCCUCUUCUGAUGAUGUCCCUUGCCCACCCUGGUCCCAAGUGGGCCCGGCACAUGACCGCACUGAGGAGGGGGUAGAAGGAAGCGCCCACCGCCUUCCUCUCCCUCUCCCUCUCCUCGGGGCCUUCACUCUGUCAGAUUUCGAAGCAUAAUGAGUUUUGUUUCAUAACAGUUUUAAAUGAACUGGAAGGGGGGAGGGAAAGAGAGAAUGAUAAAAAUCUUAAUUAAAAAAAUUCCUACGGGCAGAGAUUUUCCAGAUCCUAGAAUGUGAUAAAAGUCUCUGGAGCUGGGGUCCCUAUGGGGCCCCCAAGGACAAAGCAUUCAGCACCCAGUCUUGGGGGUCUUACUGUGUGCUUGGCCCACUCUGGGUGUGCAGGGGUGAGGCAGACAGCAGAGACCAUGAACUCAUGCUAGGACCUGAGUAGGCUGGAGGGUGAGCCAGGAAAGAGGCGGGGAAUUCAGGCAGGAGGCAGGGCACCCUGGUCAGCAGAAGAGUGAGGCAGCCUUGGAGGGACAGCAAUGAGACCGGAUGAGGGCUUGCAGGAGGGGAGGGAAGAGGCUCUCCGAGACCAAAGCAAGUAGAGGAGUCCGAGUGGUUGUGCAGAGGUCUUCCAGCAACAGCAUGGCUCUGUCCACAGAUGAAACAGAAAAGAUCAAUAACCGAAGAUACUGUAAUCCCAGCUACAGGGGAGACGGAGGUAGGAAGAUCACAAGCUUGGAGUCUGCCUGGCCAACUCAGCAAGGGCCAAAGAAAAGCAAAGCAAAGGAGCUGGAGGUAUAGCUGAGUGCUUGCCUCGCACGGGUUUGACCUCCACUACUAAAAAAAACAAAAACAAAAUCAAAAGACAGGGGGAAAGUAAUUCAACAAUUUAUUUCUCCCAUGGAACGGUAAAAUUUUAUGUUUGUUUUUAGACUAAAAGCAGAAAACAAAGUUUACUGCAUCAACAGAAUGUAAUCUUAAAACACUGGCUACUGGAGACCUACAUAAUUGGCAGUUAACAGGAGAG